GAUGAACGCUGGCGGCGUGCCUAAUACAUGCAAGUCGAGCGAACGGACGAGAAGCUUGCUUCUCUGAUGUUAGCGGCGGACGGGUGAGUAACACGUGGAUAACCUACCUAUAAGACUGGGAUAACUUCGGGAAACCGGAGCUAAUACCGGACAAUAUUUUGAACCGCAUGGUUCAAAAGUGAAAGACGGUCUUGCUGUCACUUAUAGAUGGAUCCGCGCUGCAUUAGCUAGUUGGUAAGGUAACGGCUUACCAAGGCAACGAUGCAUAGCCGACCUGAGAGGGUGAUCGGCUACACUGGAACUGAGACACGGUCCAGACUCCUACGGGAGGCAGCAGUAGGGAAUCUUCCGCAAUGGGCGAAAGCCUGACGGAGCAACGCCGCGUGAGUGAUGAAGGUCUUCGGAUCGUAAAACUCUGUUAUUAGGGAAGAACAUAUGUGUAAGUAACUGUGCACAUCUUGACGGUACCUAAUCAGAAAGCCACGGCUAACUACGUG
rnacentral:rRNA from 1 species